UCGGGAAUAUUGCGCAAUGGAGGAAACUCUGACGCAGUGACGCCGCGUAUAGGAAGAAGGUUUUCGGAUUGUAAACUAUUGUCGUGAGGGAAGAAAUUGACAGUACCUCAGGAGGAAGCUCCGGCUAACUAUGUGCCAGCAGCCGCGGUAAUACAUAGGGAGCAAGCGUUAUCCGGAUUUAUUGGGUGUAAAGGGUGCGUAGACGGGAAAUUAAGUUAGUUGUGAAAUCCCUUGGCUUAACUGAGGAACUGCAACUAAAACUGGUUUUCUUGAGUACUGGAGAGGAAAGUGGAAUUCCUAGUGUAGCGGUGAAAUGCGUAGAUAUUAGGAGGAACACCAGUGGCGAAGGCGACUUUCUGGACAGUUACUGACGUUGAGGCACGAAAGUGUGGGGAGCAAACAGGA
rnacentral:rRNA from 1 species